UACGUAGGGUGCGAGCGUUAAUCGGAAUUACUGGGCGUAAAGCGUGCGCAGGCGGUUCGUUGUGUCGGUGGUGAAAGCCCCGGGCUUAACCUGGGAAUGGCAAUGGAUACUGGCGGGCUAGAGUGUGUCAGAGGAUGGUGGAAUUCCCGGUGUAGCGGUGAAAUGCGUAGAGAUCGGGAGGAACAUCAGUGGCGAAGGCGGCCAUCUGGGACAACACUGACGCUGAAGCACGAAAGCGUGGGGAGCAAACAGG
rnacentral:rRNA from 1 species